rnacentral:rRNA from 1 species
GCGCAAUGGACGAAAGUCUGACGCAGCAACGCCGCGUGAGGGAUGAAGGCCUUCGGGUUGUAAACUUCUUUUCUCAGGGAAGAUAAUGACGGUACCUGAGGAAUAAGCCACGGCUAACUACGUGCCAGCAGCCGCGGUAAUACGUAGGUGGCAAGCGUUGUCCGGAUUUACUGGGCGUAAAGAGCGCGCAGGCGGUCGUUCAAGUCGAGUGUGAAAGCCCCCGGCUCAACUGGGGAGGGUCACUCGAUACUGAUCGACUCGAAGGCGGGAGAGGGAAGCGGAAUUCCCGGUGUAGUGGUGAAAUGCGUAGAUAUCGGGAGGAACACCAGUGGCGAAGGCGGCUUCCUGGCCCGUUCUUGACGCUGAGGCGCGAAAGCUAGGGGAGCGAACGGGAUUAGAUACCCCGGUAGUCCUAGCCGUAAACGAUGGACACUAGGUGUUGGUGGUAUCAACCCCGCCAGUGCCGAAGCUAACGCAUUAAGUGUCCCGCCUGGGGAGUACGGCCGCAAGGCUA